GAUGUGGAUCAGGAUGAGAAAAAAAUCGUAUAAAAGGAGAGAGAAAAGGCGACAGAAGUUAGUCGAGUGAGCAUCUCUGACACGGCAACAACCGUAGCUGUCCGUAACUGUCCGUCUCCAAGUGCCUCCGUCACCUCAUCGUACAACCAAUUCGCAAUCAUGGUAAAUUAUGGCGUAAUGCUGCUGUUGGAUGUUGCCCGUUGAUGGCUGGGUCAACAACUGGUGUACCGAUGUCUCCUGGCUAUGGUGAAUAUUGAAGCACAGCAUAUCCGUCUUAUUACUCAACAUCACCGACGCUGCUUCAAUUUACUACACCAAGGCUCCAAAGUACUUCACCACCAAUGUUCCAGAGUAUUACAAGUUGAAUCGCAGGAGAGAAAAGGUGAAAUAAUCAGUCGAGUGAUAAUCUCCAACACGACAGCAACUAUUUGGCUUUGCACUAUUUGUCGUCAACUGCAUUCUUCGUUGUAUCACCAGUAUACAAUCACGGGCCUAAACUAUGGCGUUAUACUGCUGUUGAUUGUUGUCCUCAAGUACUUCACCACCGAGGUUCCAGAAAAUUUCACUGCAAUUUAUGCUGCCCCGAACUGCAGUUCCAAAGAGCCUGAGUACUACACCGAGUACACCGUGGCUUCCAAGUUCUAUACCACCAAGGCACCGAAGUUAUACACGACUACGUAUGCUGCCCCAACCUGCUAAACCGUGACUCCAAAGUAAUAUUCUGCUUCAGUUACUACACCGAGGCUCCAACUUACUAUGCCACCAAAGCUGCUGAAUACUAUACCGAAGCGCCACGCCUUAUGCUGCCUCGAGCUACUACAAGGCGGCACCGAAGUAUUAUUCUGCCCCGAACCCGAGUACUUUCACCAAGGCCCUGGCGUACUACACUACAACCUACGUUGCCCCAGCUCACUUCAUCGUGGCUCCCAAUUACUACAACACCGAAUCACCUGAGUAGUAUACGUCUACGUACUCCCAAGUAUUACUCUGCUUCAGUUACUACACCGAGGUUCAUACUUACUACACCACUAAAGCGGCUGAAUAGUGAAUACUACGCCGCAGCGACGAAGUACUACACCGAAAAGGGCGAAAAUUACACAACCACGUACGCUGCUCCAGUUUACUACACCAAGUAACCCAAGAGAAAGAGGCGAAAAAUAAUCAGUCGAAUGUUAUCUCCAACACGGCAACAACAAAUGCGGUGCACCAUUUGUCUCCAACUGCAAUCUUCUUCGUACCACCAGUUCGAAAUCAUGGAUUAUUUAUUGUCUACUAAAUUAUGGCGUCAUGCUGCUGUUGGAUGUUGAAUCAUCGAUGGCUGGGUCAACAACUGGUGUACAUGAACCAACGCUCCUCGAUAUCUCCAGCUUACCUAUUCAUCAUCACUUUGCAAUCACGGAGUCGUUCUGUUCUUGAUUGUUGUUUUCAAAUACUACACCUCCAAGGCUACAGAAUGUUACACCACACCUUAUGCUGCCUCGAGCUACUACACCGCAGCCCCGAAGUAUUAUUCUGCCCCGAGCCCGAGUACUUCACCGAGGUCCUGGAGUACUACACAUUACAUCCUACGUUGCCCCAGCUCACCACACCGGAGCUCUCAUCUAUUACACCCCCAAGGCAACUGAGUAUUACACAACUGUGUGUGCUGCCCCAACCUACUAUAUCGAGACUCAAGUACUACUCUGCUUCAGUUACUACACCGAGGCUCCAACUUACUACAAUUAGAAAAAAGGAAGAAU